UAUAUUUUGAAACGGAUGGAGUAUAAGUCUCUUAUAUAUGAAAAGUUUUAUAAAAGUAAUACAAAUUGUUGUGGCUGACCUACAAUAAAGGCUAGCUACCAUGAGAAAUCACCUUGAAUGGUCUAGAUCACGUAAAUCACUUGGUAAUCAUGAACAAAUUUAUUAAAGUUAAUUAAAAAGAACUUGUUCCAAAGUCUUUUAAGGUCUAAAGAAACAAACAAAACUUAUUUUCCUGACAACUGAUCUCUUCAUGAUAACUAUCAUUAGAAGAUGUCUGAGUUAACGCACUCGAGCAAACAGACGACGAAGACCCUGAAGAAGACGAACAAAAACAACAACAACAACAACACGACGUAGCAGGAGUCAAAUUCAGAUCACAGCAUCUUCUUCUUCUUAUUUUAUUCUUCUUAUCUUUUCUCAUAAAGUCAUAAAAAAUGGGACAAGUACUACUCUUCUUCUCCUCCUCACUUUCUUUCUCUGUCUCUUUCUCAUUCUCCAAAUCGUCUCGUUCCUCUUCUUUCCUCUUAUUACUAUUGCUUCUCUUCUU